UACGUAGGGUGCGAGCGUUGUCCGGAAUUAUUGGGCGUAAAGGGCGCGUAGGCGGUCGUGACAAGUCACUUGUGAAAUCUCCGGGCUUAACUCGGAACGGUCAAGUGAUACUGUCGGACUAGAGUACAGAAGGGGCAACUGGAAUUCUCGGUGUAGCGGUGAAAUUCGUAGAUAUUCGCAAGAACACCAGUGGCGAAGGCGGCUCACUGGCCCGGUACUGACGCUGAGGUGCGAAAGCGUGGGGAGCAAACAGG
rnacentral:rRNA from 1 species